UAUUGAAGAGGACCGGGCCAGGCGACUGCCUGAGCCCUAGUUUCUGUACCAAGCCUCUUUCUUACAGCCUUUCCCAGAUUGUAAGGGCGUUGCGGAGCUUUACAACUCGCUGCUGCCUCGCCAUUACUGGAGGCGGCCCCUCACCACCUAUUUUAGUGUAGGCCUUGGGAGCUACUCGAUGCGAAAACACUAGGCCCAAGGAGGUGAAGAAACGGCUGUGGGCGAUUCUAACACAGGAGGAGGCAAACUUAGGCUUGUAAAGAUUGAAGCCCGUCAGAGAAAGAGCUGCGGGCCUGUUCCACAGCCACAGCAACACAGAUCCAAGCCUCAUCUGUGACCUCCCUUUCCUCCCUCUUUUUCCCCUUCCCUCCCUCCCCUCCCCCCUCACAACAAUGCCCAGAUCCUUAAGCCACUGAGCAAGGCCAGGGAGUGAACCCUCAUCUUCAUGGAUCCUGGUUAGGUUGGUUAACCAUUGAGCCAUAAAGGGAACUCCCAGGCAAUUCUUAUCGCUCCCUAAAGAUUUAGAUGUCAUGGAUAUUUCAGAUAUAUGGAAUCAUAAAAUAUGUAGUCUUUGUUUCUGGCAUCUUUCACUUAGAUAAUGUUUUUGAGGUUUAUUUGUAUUGUAAAAUGGAUCUAUGUUAUAUAGACUCCAAACAGAGCUGUUAAGAACAAUACUUUUCAAGGCUUGAUAUGUGAACAAUUUGUUUUGUGUUAGUAGGUACCUAGAAGCAAAAUUAUUGGAUUAUACUUUAUAUUUACAUUUAACUUAAACUGAGACAAUUACAUUUAAAUUUAAAAUCUACAUUUUUAAAGUAGUGUAUAUUUUAUUUUAUUUAUUUAGUUUUUUGUCUUUUUGCCGUUUCUUGGGCUGCUCCCACAGCAUAUGGAGGUUCCCAGGCUAGGGGUCGAAUCAGAGCUAUAGCCGCUGGCCUAUGCCAGAGCCACAGCAAUGCGGGAUCCGAGCUGCGUCUGCAACCUGCUCCACAGCUCACAGCAACACCAGAUCCCUAACCCAGUGAGGAAUGCCAGGGAUUGAACCUGCAACCUCAUGGUUCCCAGUCGGAUUCCUGAGCCAUGACAGGAACUCCAAAGUAGUGUAAAUUUUAAAUUUUAAGAUUUUCCAGUUGAUUUUGACUACAUUUUGAUUUCUUGGUUAUACCCAUUCUAGUAGUGGUAUACUGGUCCCUUUGUGGUUUUAAUUUGCAUUUCCUUAAUAAUUAAUGAUGUUGAGCAUAUGCCUAUGUGCAUAUUGUCUGCUUGCAUAUCUUUCUUGGAGUAAUGUAUAUUUAGACUGCCUAGUUUUAAAAUUAGUUUUUAAAAAAUUAUCUCUGUAGGUUGUAUCUUUUCUGUGAUUUGACCUGCAAUAUUUCUCCUAAUCUGUGUUUUCUGUUUUCACUUUCUUUAUAGCAUCUUUUGAAGUGCAGAAGUUUUAAAUUUGAUGAGAUCUGGUUAAUUUUUUUCCUUUCAUCGCUUUUUAUGUCUAGUCAAGAAAUCUUUGCCUAACUGAAAGUCAUGAAGAUUCACUCAUAUUUACCUCUUAAAAUUUUUAUCUUUAGAGUAUGCAUGUCUUGGUCUCUAAUCCAUUUUGGUUUAACUUUUGUGUGUUGUGUAAAUUAGGCAUCCAGAUUCAUUUUUUGCAUGUGGAUGUUUAUUAUUUCAGUACAAAUUGUUCAAAAGAAUUUUCUUUCACCUUUGAAUAGUCUUGGCACCCUUGCUGAAAAUCAUUUGACAUAUUAAAAGUUCUUAUAAAUAAGAACUUAAUGUCUGGACUGUCAAUUCUGAGCUAUUGAUCUUUAUGUGUAUUCUCAUGCCAGCAACGACUAAGUUAAUUUAUAUUCUAAAUGACAGUGACAAUUAAAAGUUUCUUUUUAAACUGUGGUAAAAAUACAACAGAAUUUAGUCACAACUAUUUUUAACGGUAUAGUUUGGUGGUAAAAGUACCAUUACAUUGUUGGCAACCAUCCCAAGAGUAACACUUUCAUUAAUGUGUCAUGAUUUUUAGUCUUACCUUAAGUUUGCUGAACCUUGAAUAAAGUUUAGGAAUAAAUUUCAGUGCUCAAGGAAUAAAUUUUUAGCUUCCAUUUUGUUAUUUUAAUAGCAAAGUAUUCAUUGCUGUUAAUCUUAAUUUGAACAUGGAGUUUGCAUUUUGUUAAUGCAGAGUUUUUCUUCAAUCUUGAUAGCACAUUAUAAUCACUUGGGGAAGCAUUAAAAAUAAUACUCAUGGUUUGGAGUUCCCAUUUUGGCUCAGUGGCUUAAGGACCCAACAUUGUCUCCUAGAGAAUGUGGAUUCCAUCCCUGGCCUUGCUUUGUGGUGUUGCUGCAGGCUGAGCUGCUGUUGCCAUGUCUGUGGUGUAGGACUCAGUUGCAGCUCUGAUUCCAUCCCUGGCCUAGAAUCUUCCACAUGCUGCAGGUGGGGCUGUAAAAAGAAAAAAAAAAA
ensembl:lncRNA